UGGGGAAUAUUGCACAAUGGGCGCAAGCCUGAUGCAGCCAUGCCGCGUGUAUGAAGAAGGCCUUCGGGUUGUAAAGUACUUUCAGCGAGGAGGAAGGCGUUGUGGUUAAUAACCGCAACGAUUGACGUUACUCGCAGAAGAAGCACCGGCUAACUCCGUGCCAGCAGCCGCGGUAAUACGGAGGGUGCAAGCGGUAAUCGGAAUUACUGGGCGUAAAGCGCACGCAGGCGGUCUGUCAAGUCGGAUGUGAAAUCCCCGGGCUCAACCUGGGAACUGCAUCCGAAACUGGCAGGCUAGAGUCUUGUAGAGGGGGGUAGAAUUCCAGGUGUAGCGGUGAAGUGCGUAGAGAUCUGGAGGAAUACCGGUGGCGAAGGCGGCCCCCUGGACAAAGACUGACGCUCAGGUGCGAAAGCGUGGGGAGCAAACA
rnacentral:rRNA from 1 species